CUGGGCCACUCAGAACUGCACCCUGGUGGACAUGAAGAUUGAAUUUGGCGUCAGUGUGAAAAGUGGAGAGAUUGUGCUCGCUGACGUGAUUGACAACGAUUCAUGGAGGCUUUGGCCAGCUGGAGAUGGGAGCCAGCAAAAAGACAAACAGGUGUACAGAGAGCUGAAGGAAGUGACCCCAGAGGCAAUGCAGAUGGUGAAGAGGAAUUUUGAGUGGGUCUCUGAAAGGGUCGAGGUACAGC